GCAGGAGGAGGUGACAAGCCAAGCGAGCCGGAGAGGGCCUGGGGCCCGGCUGGCUGCACCCCGCACUCCGGGCCCCGGCCCCCGGCCUCCCCUGGGGUGCGCUUCUAGUACGCGCGGUGGAGACGCCGAAACAGACAAGGGCUGCUUUUUCCCUUGUUUUUUUUUUCUUCCUUUUAAAACAAAGCAGCGAUUCAUUCCCUCUCCCCCAGCAGCGCGGUCGGGUGGGAUGGGCAGGCGAGAAGGCCGUUUUCCUAGCACUGACCUACGGGUCCCUCCCUGAAACGCGGUGUCAGAUGGUUACUGAUUAAUAUUUUGGAGAGGCCGCGGCGGCAGGCAGCGGGUGAGUCUCUAAUCUUCUAAAAGGGGUUCCUAUAGAAACGCGGAGCGGGGCGCGCCCCCCGCUCGGCCCAGGCCCGGGCUGCGGCGCUUCGCACAGCGCGCCCCUCCCCAAAGCCCCUCUUUGCGUGGGCGCUCCCCUCUCCUUCCCCCCCCGCCAACAAAAAAUCAGAGCAGAAAAAAGGAUUAGAUCGGCUGAGCGCGAACUGAAUCCCUCUCGAUUCUGACAUUUCAGCCUAUUAGCAUUUCUCCACGGAGCCUUCUGAAACCUAUUAAAGUGUAAUAUUAAAAACC
rnacentral:lncRNA from 1 species